rnacentral:rRNA from 1 species
UACGGGGGGGGCAAGCGUUGUUCGGAAUUACUGGGCGUAGAGGGCUCGUAGGCGGCCAACUAAGUCAGACGUGAAAUCCCUCGGCUUAACCGGGGAACUGCGUCUGAUACUGGAUGGCUUGAAUCCGGGAGAGGGAUGCGGAAUUCCAGGUGUAGCGGUGAAAUGCGUAGAUAUCUGGAGGAAUACCGGUGGCGAAGGCGGCAUCCUGGACCGGCAUUGACGCUGAUGAGCGAAAGCUAGGGGAGCAAACGGG